CUACCACCAUGACAGUUGUACAAAGUGUCCUCCUAUUGGCUCUCAUUUCAGCUGCUCGGGGCCAGUCCCUCACCUCCUCAGAGCCAGUGGUCAGCAGACCAGGAGAAUCAGUCACUCUGUCCUGUAAAGUGGAAGGAGUUUCGCUCACUUGGCUGCACUGGAUUCGUCAGAAACCCGUCAAAGGACUGGAAUGGAUUGGACGCAUUGAUGGUGGAACUGGCACAAUAUUUGCCCAAAGCCUCCAAAGCCAGUUUAUCAUCACCAAAGACUCUUCCCAAAACUUGGUGUAUUUAAAGGUGAAGAGUCUGAAACAAGAAGACUCUGCAGUUUAUUAUUGUGCUCGAGAGCCACAGUGACACCAGAGAAUACAAAGCUGUACAAAAACUGAACAACGCUGAUGUUUGGAUGAGAAGUACUGAAGCAUGUCAGGCUCUGAAAACACAUUCCCCAGUGAAUGAUGGCUGGUUAACAAUAAAACACAUCAUGUCACUGAAAUGAGUUUGUGGCAGCAGAUCUUUAAAUAUGACCUGAGACCAAAAUAUAUCUUUC